CCCACCCUUCCCACCACCACCCCAUUAAUGAGAUAUGCCUGUCAGGGGGCAUCCUGCUGGUUAGGCCCAGCGUAUUGCCUUGGAGCAAGAUGAGGAGGAGUAGCCAUCCCCGAUCAGCCUGGUUGGAACUCUGGAAUGCCCCCUCCUCAUACCAAACCCACCAGGAGCCCUGCAGCCUGCGCCAUAAUCCCAGGGCCUGUGGGAACUCUCGCCAACUCACUUCACUGAGUCAGAGCAAGAAAAGUUCAACCACUACAACAUCCAUCCUUUCCACCCUCAUUAUGAUCAGCCUCUCUCUCCAUUUUGCUUUCAUUUUUACUACCUUGAGCUGAAAUGUUCUGGUUCCCCCAAGAGCCUUUUAUUAGCCUCUGAUGUUGUGUAAGGACACAAUAUACUCGACAGAUCUGUGCAUGGAGAGAAAAAGAGAACGAUGUUUUAAUCAGAUACAUUUCCAGAGAGCAUCCCUCUUGACAAUGACCUGGGACCUAAUGUUCGGUGAGCUGCAGGAUCAAGGAGAAUGUGCAUCUUCCUCUUUGCUUUAAUGAACCUAAAGGUCAAGAGGGGUAUGUUACAGCUAAACAUUGGGAUAGACACACACACAUUCACCUACAAACACACCCCCCUAACAGACAUGGACACUUACCCACAAACCUUUGCACAAAGAGAGGAAUGCUGUUUGCUCACUGCAUUCAUCCAUGUAAAAGCACCAUCGGGGCAGACAGUCACUCUGUUCCACAGCAUGUCUAGCCAUCACCACACACACACACACACACACACACACACACACACACACACACACACACCUAACAAUCACAAAGAGAGAUGGCACUUUCCUUUUCACAAAGCACACCCCCAAAAACCCUCUAGCACCACACACACUUCGCUUGCCACCUUUGUAUCACUUGAAAGGCAUAUGGUUACAGCCAUUUGAUUCCAUAGCUGAAAGUGCCUUUCACUUAACAGCAGUUCAGAAAGAGGUCAUACUUCUGCAAACAGAAAUACUUGACCAAAGGAGCUCACUGACUGGCACUUAAAAUGAUAAAAGAAUGUGGUGCAAAUGAAGACCCAAA
ensembl:lncRNA